GGAGACAGCGUGUCAGAGUCGAAACAGAACCUGUGGGCUGCAGCACUGCUUGCUUGUAGGGUGAAGGGAAAUCCACACGCCAGGAGAGUGGUAUGAGUGUAUUGUGUGAAAAGCUGAGGUGUUUGUAAACCUGAAAGAAAAAAGGCUUGUACUCAUAGCCGUCUUACUCAGUUCAGGAGAGACAAAUUAAUGGAAUAAGUAUUAUUACUGUAUCAGAUGAUAAAUAGGUCUGUGGAGAAAAUGACAGGAGAUGGGGAUGCUGGGGCAUCUUGGCGGCAGUUAUUAGUGGGUGACACAGAGAAAGCCGUCUGAAGUGAUGUGGGCAGACACUGAAAGGUUCAGGUGCCGUGAGGGUUUCCAGGCAGAGGUGAGUGAGGACUGAGGCUGCUUUUGAGGUCCAGGGUGUAGCCUGGAGUAAAGGGACUCCAUCCCUGCAACCCACUCCCAGUCACUCAGAAAAUAACCUUUAUGUGCAGACAAAGGAGAAGGAAGCAGCAAAAGGUAACCAAAUGUGCUUCUGGGUUAAGGCUGUCAAGUCCCCAGCAUUCUCCUGCACCUGCCCUUCAAACAUCUUCCCGCCCCGCCCCGCCCCGCCCCGCCCCGCCCCGCCCCGCCCCGCCCCGCCCCGCCCCGCCCCGCCCCGCCCGGGACGGGACAGGACAAGGCAGGAAGGACUGGAGCUGGAGCUCUGUGGUGAACCAUUUCCUUAGCACGCACGCACGCACGAGGCUCUGGGGCAACAGCUGGAGAGGAAGAGGAGCCAAGAGCCCUCCCGGAACUGCUUUCAGGAUGAGGGAGGCAGAAGCAUGCUUGCAUCCUGGUGCUAGCGAACUGCCCAGGGAGGACUGAUGGCCAGAGAGGCAGCAGAGCCAGUGGCGCCAGGUUCUUAGAUGGAGAAGAAAUGAUCCAGAGCCCAAAGCGCACUUGGUCCGGGUGUGUGCUUUUCCCAGGAGUGUGGUCCAGAUGGAUGCUCUCAGUGUUCUCUGGCCAGAGGCCUUCAGGAAUCCAUAUGUAGCUCACCAAGGUGGGUCAUUGCUUACCUCUGUGAAGAGGUGCAUAUAUCGGGUGUCGUAAUAAGUUAGUACUUUUUGAUCUGAGCUCAGGAUGCUUGUCUAGCACACAUGAGAGCUUGAUCCCCAGAUUCCAUAAAUAAUUAAAAAAAAAAAAAAAAGGAAUAAUGGGCUGGAGAGAUGGCUCAGUGGCUAGGAGCACUGACUGCUCUUCCAAAGGUCCUGACUUCAAAUCCCAGCAACCGCAUGGUGGCUCACAACCAUCCGUAAUGAGCUCUGGCGCCCUCUUCCGGUGCGUCUGAAGAGAGCUACAGUGCACUUAGACAUAAUAAAUUAACUUUUUUUUUUUUUGAAAAAAAAAAAAAAAAACCCUAAGGGGGAAAAAAGCUGGACAUGAUGACACACGCCUUUAAUCCCAGCACUUGGGAGGCAGAAAGAAAAUGAAUAACUAUCUCUCUCUCUUGCAAGAUGUAGAACUGGUUAGCUGGUUUUACAGAACCAUGGAAGUUGAGGUUCACUCAGGAUUGGGUUUGUCAGAAAGCAGGGACAUUUCAAGCACCACUAAUCUCAAUAAGUGAUCGGCA
rnacentral:lncRNA from 1 species